rnacentral:pre_miRNA from 1 species
AAAAAGACAAACCAUGGGUUUACGUGUCCAACGUUUGACCGUGUGUCUUAUUUGAAAAAAUUAAAAAGACAAGUCACGCAUUAAGUAUUAAUCAUGUUUUAUUAUUUAACAAUAAUAAAAAUACUAAUUAUAAAAAAAUUUCAUAUAAGACGGACAGUCAAACGUUGGACACGGAAACCCAGGGUUUGCCUUUUU